AUGUAUUCACAAUAAUUGGUUGAGCGACACUUGGCUCCCUUUUAUUUACAUUUUUCAGAUUCCGUGAAAGCUUUAGAUUUAUCCAUAUUUUUAUCCAAAAAAAACCUCGGUACUUUGAUACCACAUCCAGUAAUGGAAAAAACCAAUACAUAAAAGAAAAAAAAAAAACA
rnacentral:misc_RNA from 1 species